GCAUCAACAGGAUAAUACAUCAUGAGGUGUAUUUUCACUGAAGUUUGCAGAAACAAUCUUAGCAAAAGAGGUUCUGGAUUUUCCUGUUUCAACUGAGGCGGUCUACAGCAUGAGGUUGGAAAUUGCUGUAAGACUUAUCCUUAAUAGUGAUGACCUAAUAGACUUGUGCCACUUCUGUGGAGAGAUGGAAAGUGACACGAACGUGAACUGGGUAAGACAUUUUUUGAAUUAUUCAAAGAGUUAGUGUUAGUAAGUUAA